rnacentral:rRNA from 1 species
UAUGCAUCUAGAUUCGGAUCCGCGGCCGCAGAGUUUGAUCCUGGCUCAGAACGAACGCUGGCGGCAGGCCUAACACAUGCAAGUCGAGCGCCCCGCAAGGGGAGCGGCGGACGGGUGAGUAACGCGUGGGAACGUGCCCUUUGCUACGGAAUAGUCUCGGGAAACUGGGGGUAAUACCGUAUACGCCCUAUUGGGGAAAGAUUUAUCGGCGAAGGAUCGGCCCGCGUUGGAUUAGGUAGUUGGUGGGGUAAUGGCUCACCAAGCCGACGAUCCAUAGCUGGUUUGAGAGGAUGAUCAGCCACACUGGGACUGAGACACGGCCCAGACUCCUACGGGAGGCAGCAGUGGGGAAUCUUAGACAAUGGGGGCAACCCUGAUCUAGCCAUGCCGCGUGAGUGAUGAAGGCCUUAGGGUUGUAAAGCUCUUUCAGCUGGGAAGAUAAUGACUGUACCAGCAGAAGAAGCCCCGGCUAACUCCGUGCCAGCAGCCGCGGUAAUACGGAGGGGGCUAGCGUUGUUCGGAAUUACUGGGCGUAAAGCGCACGUAGGCGGACCAGCAAGUUAUGGGUGAAAUCCCGGGGCUCAACCCCGGAACUGCCCUUAAAACUGUUGAUCUUGAGUUCGAGAGAGGUGA